ACUCAAGGUCAAUUUGUGGACCCUGAAAAUUUAGACUAUUGUAUAAAAGUCUAUUUUGAUUUGACCGUUUUUGGGAGGGAUCAUCGGUGUGAUCAAUUGUGGAC